UACCAGCACCCCGAGUGGUCUGGACGAUUAUUGGGCCUAAAGCAUCCGUAGCCGGUCCUACAAGUCUUCCGUUAAAUCCACCUGCUUAACAGAUGGGCUGCGGAAGAUACUAUAGGGCUAGGAGGCGGGAGAGGCAAGCGGUACUCAGUGGGUAGGGGUAAAAUCCUCUGAUCCAUUGAAGACCACCAGUGGCGAAGGCGGCUUGCCAGAACGCGCUCGACGGUGAGGGAUGAAAGCUGGGGGAGCAAACCGG
rnacentral:rRNA from 1 species